rnacentral:rRNA from 1 species
CGUCAGCUCGUGCCGUGAGGUGUUAGGUUAAGUCCUGCAACGAGCGCAACCCUCGUCGCUAGUUAAUUUCACUAGCGAUACUGCCGUAAACGAGGAGGAAGGUGGGGAGUGACGUCAAGUCAGCAUGGCCCUUACGCCUUGGGCUACACACACGCUACAAUGGGUGAUACAACGGGAUGCCAAAGAGCAAUCUGGAGCUAAUCCCUAAAAAUCAUCCUCAGUUCGGAUUGUAGGCUGAAACUGCCUGCAUGAAGUUGGAGUUGCUAGUAACCGCAGGUCAGCACACUGCGGUGAAUACGUUCUCGGGCCUU